rnacentral:rRNA from 1 species
CCUACGGGAGGCAGCAGUGAGGAAUAUUGGUCAAUGGACGAGAGUCUGAACCAGCCAAGUAGCGUGAAGGCUGACUGCCCUAUGGGUUGUAAACUUCUUUUAUAUGGGAAUAAAACGUUCCACGUGUGGGAUUUUGUAUGUACCAUAUGAAUAAGGAUCGGCUAACUCCGUGCCAGCAGCCGCGGUAAUACGGAGGAUCCGAGCGUUAUCCGGAUUUAUUGGGUUUAAAGGGGGCGUAGGUGGAUUGUUAAGUCAGUUGUGAAAGUUUGCGGCUCAACCGUAAAAUUGCAGUUGAAACUGGCAGUCUUGAGUACAGUAGAGGUGAGCGGAAUUCGUGGUGUAGCGGUGAAAUGCUUAGAUAUCACGAAGAACUCCGAUUGCGAAGGCAGUUCACUGGACUGCAACUGACACUGAGGCUCGAAAGUGUGGGUAUCAAACAGGAUUAGAUACCCUAGUAGUC